GACGAACGCUGGCGGCGUGCCUAAUACAUGCAAGUCGAGCGAAGUUUUUCUGGUGCUUGCACUAGAAAAACUUAGCGGCGAACGGGUGAGCAACACGUAAAGAACCUGCCUCAUAGACUGGGACAACUAUUGGAAACGAUAGCUAAUACCGGAUAACAGUAUUUCUCGCAUGAGAGAUAUUUAAAAGUUGGUUAUGCUAACACUAUGAGAUGGCUUUGCGGUGCAUUAGCUAGUUGGUGGGGUAAAGGCCCACCAAGGCGACGAUGCAUAGCCGACCUGAGAGGGUGAUCGGCCACACUGGGACUGAGACACGGCCCAGACUCCUACGGGAGGCAGCAGUAGGGAAUCUUCCGCAAAGGGCGAAAGCCUGACGGAGCAACGCCGCGUGAGUGAAGAAGGAUUUCGGUUCGUAAAGCUCUGUUGUUAGGGAAGAAUGGAUAUGUAGUAACUAUACAUGUAAGAGACGGUACCUAACCAGAAAGCCACGGCUAACUACGUG
rnacentral:rRNA from 1 species